rnacentral:rRNA from 1 species
GAUGAACGCUGGCGGCGUGCCUAAUACAUGCAAGUCGAGCGAACUGAUUAGAGGCUUGCUUCUAUGACGUUAGCGGCGGACGGGUGAGUAACACGUGGGCAACCUGCCUGUAAGACUGGGAUAACUUCGGGAAACCGAAGCUAAUACCGAUAGAAUCUUCUCCUUCAUGGGAGAUGAUUGAAAGAUGGUUUCGGCUAUCACUUACAGAUGGGCCCGCGGUGCAUUAGCUAGUUGGUGAGGUAACGGCUCACCAAGGCAACGAUGCAUAGCCGACCUGAGAGGGUGAUCGGCCACACUGGGACUGAGACACGGCCCAGACUCCUACGGGAGGCAGCAGUAGGGAAUCUUCCGCAAUGGACGAAAGUCUGACGGAGCAACGCCGCGUGAGUGAUGAAGGCUUUCGGGUCGUAAAACUCUGUUGUUAGGGAAGAACAAGUACGAGAGUAACUGCUCGUACCUUGACGGUACCUAACCAGAAAGCCACGGCUAACUACGUGCCAGCAGCCGCCGUAACAC